UACGAAGGGGCUAGCGUUGCUCGGAAUCACUGGGCGUAAAGCGCACGUAGGCGGAUUGUUAAGUCAGGGGUGAAAUCCUGGAGCUCAACUCCAGAACUGCCUUUGAUACUGGCGAUCUUGAGUCCGGGAGAGGUGAGUGGAACUGCGAGUGUAGAGGUGAAAUUCGUAGAUAUCGCAAGAACACCAGUGGUGAAGGCGGCUCACUGGCCCGGUACCUGACGCUGACGGUGCGGAAAGCGUGGGGA
rnacentral:rRNA from 1 species